rnacentral:rRNA from 1 species
UGGGGAAUAUUGGACAAUGGGCGCAAGCCUGAUGCAGCGACGCCGCGUGGGUGAAGAAGGUUUUCGGAUCGUAAAACCCUUUUCUGUGUGACGAGAACGGACGGUAGCACAGGAAUAAGUCUCGGCUAACUACGUGCCAGCAGCCGCGGUAAAACGUAGGAGACAAACGUUAUCCGGAGUUACUGGGCGUAAAGGGCGUGCAGGCGGCAGUCUAAGUCUGGCGUGAAAUAUCCCGGCUCAACCGGGAGAGGUCGUCGGAUACUGGGCAGCUCGAGGGCGGUAGAGGCGUGUGGAAUUCCGGGUGUAGUGGUGAAAUGCGUAGAGAUCCGGAGGAACACCAGUGGCGAAGGCGACACGCUGGGCCGCACCUGACGCUAAGACGCGACAGCAUGGGGAGCGAACAGGAUUAGAUACCCAAGUAGUCCCUGAGCGGGCUGGCAAGGCGCAU